rnacentral:tRNA from 1 species
CGAGGUGUAGCGCAGUCGGUAGCGUGCCUGCUUCGGGAGCAGGAAGUCGCAGGUUCAAGUCCUGUCACCUCGACCA